UAUCUCUGUAGAGUCUGCAUAUCAAUAAGCGGAGGAAAAGGGUCUGUACCUCAUCGACGCGGUACCCACCGCCUACCUGCCCAAUCUGCGGAUCGUAAAGGAGCAGCUGCCCAGAAUCGGCAAAAUCAAGCUGGUCAUGAGCAACUACAGUCAGUAUUCCAGCCGGUACGACCGGGUGCUGGCCGGUGAAAAACCCAACACCUUCCGCACCGAUCUGGCAGGCGGCAGCCUGAUGGAUAUCAAUUUCUACAAUAUUUAUCUGAAUGUGGCGCUGUUCGGCAAACCCGAAAAAGCGGUGUACUUCCCCAACCUCUACCCCGGUCUGGCAGAUACCUCCGGCAGUGCCGUGCUGUGCUACGACGGCUUCGUCAGCCAGAAUGCCGGUGCCAAGGACACCUGGGGAGAAAACUACUUCCAGAUCGAAGGCGAGAAAGGCUACCUCUACAUAGAGGGCGGCUCCAACGGCAUCGCCAAAGUGCGGGUGGUGACGAAAGACACAGAGGAGGUCUUCGACGCGCAGCCGGAUCCCGACCGCUGGUCCUACGAGGUAAAGGAGAUCGCCCGGCUGGUGCUGGCCGGUAAGCGGCAGGUCUUCCGGGACAUGCUGGAGACCACUGCGGAUGUGAUGGAAACAUUGGAAGCCUGCCGGGAAAGCGCCGGCAUCCGCUUCCCGGAGGACGGAGAUAGCGAAGCAUGAAAAUGCCGUACCUACGCUUAGGAUGUUGACUGAUAUGUAGUCGUA
rnacentral:rRNA from 1 species